GGGGAAUAUUGGACAAUGGGCGCAAGCCUGAUCCAGCCAUGCCGCGUGAGUGAUGAAGGCCUUAGGGUUGUAAAGCUCUUUCGGCGGGGACGAUAAUGACGGUACCCGCAGAAGAAGCCCCGGCAAACUUCGUGCCAGCAGCCGCGGUAAUACGAAGGGGGCUAGCGUUGUUCGGAAUCACUGGGCGUAAAGCGUAUGUAGGCGGAUCGUUAAGUCGGGGGUGAAAGCCCGAGGCUCAACCUCGGAACUGCCUUCGAUACUGGCGAUCUUGAGUCCGGGAGAGGUGAGUGGAACUGCGAGUGUAGAGGUGAAAUUCGUAGAUAUUCGCAAGAACACCAGUGGCGAAGGCGGCUCACUGGCCCGGUACUGACGCUGAGAUACGAAAGCGUGGGGAGCAAAC
rnacentral:rRNA from 1 species